UACGUAGGUGGCGAGCGUUGUCCGGAUCUACUGGGCGUAAAGGGAGCGUAGGCGGACUUUUAAGUGAGAUGUGAAAUACCCGGGCUCAACUUGGGUGCUGCAUUUCAAACUGGAAGUCUAGAGUGCAGGAGAGGAGAAUGGAAUUCCUAGUGUAGCGGUGAAAUGCGUAGAGAUUAGGAAGAACACCAGUGGCGAAGGCGAUUCUCUGGACUGUAACUGACGCUGAGGCUCGAAAGCGUGGGGAGCAAACAGGAUUAGAUA
rnacentral:rRNA from 1 species